AGUGGCGGACGGGUGAGUAACGCGUGAGGAUCUGCCCUUAGGUUGGGGAUAACAGUUGGAAACGACUGCUAAUACCCAAUGUGCCGAGAGGUGAAAGGUUUACUGCCUGAGGAUGAGCUCGCGUCCGAUUAGCUAGUUGGUGGGGUAAUGGCGUACCAAGGCGACGAUCGGUAGCUGGUCUGAGAGGAUGAUCAGCCACACUGGGACUGAGACACGGCCCAGACUCCUACGGGAGGCAGCAGUGGGGAAUUUUCCGCAAUGGGCGAAAGCCUGACGGAGCAAGACCGCGUGCGGGAGGACGGCCUGUGGGUUGUAGACCGCUUUUGACAGGGAAGAAGCUCUGACGGUACCUGUCGAAUCAGCAUCGGCUAACUCCGUGCCAGCAGCCGCGGUAAUACGGAGGAUGCAAGCGUUAUCCGGAAUUAUUGGGCGUAGAGCGUCCGUAGGUGGUUGAGUAAGUCUGCUGUUAAAGCGUGGAGCUUAACUCCAUAUCGGCAGUGGAAACUACUUGACUUGAGUGCGGUAGGGGUCAGGGGAAUUCCCAGUGUAGCGGUGAAAUGCGUAGAUAUUGGGAAGAACACCGGUGGCGAAAGCGCCUGACUGGGCCUGCACUGACACUGAGGGACGAAAGCUAGGGGAGCGAAAGGGAUUAGAUACCCCUGCAGUCUUAGCUGUAAACGAUGGGCACUAGGCGUUG
rnacentral:rRNA from 1 species